CCUACGGGAGGCAGCAGUGGGGAAUAUUGCACAAUGGGGGAAACCCUGAUGCAGCGACGCCGCGUGAGUGAGGAAGUAUUUCGGUAUGUAAAGCUCUAUCAGCAGGGAAGAAAAUGACGGUACCUGACUAAGAAGCCCCGGCUAACUACGUGCCAGCAGCCGCGGUAAUACGUAGGGGGCAAGCGUUAUCCGGAUUUACUGGGUGUAAAGGGCGUGUAGGCGGGCCUGCAAGUCAGAAGUGAAAUCUGGGGGCUUAACCCCCAAACUGCUUUUGAAACUGUGGGUCUUGAGUGAUGGAGAGGCAG
rnacentral:rRNA from 1 species